rnacentral:rRNA from 1 species
CACGUAGGAGGCGAGCGUUGUCCGGAAUCAUUGGGCGUAAAGAGCGCGCAGGCGGCCCGGCAAGUCGGGUGUGAAAUCCCGGGGCUCAACCCCGGGACUGCAUUCGAUACUGUCGGGCUAGAGGUAGGUAGGGGAGAUCGGAAUUCCUGGUGUAGCGGUGAAAUGCGCAGAUAUCAGGAGGAACACCGGUGGCGAAGGCGGAUCUCUGGGCCUUACCUGACGCUCAGGCGCGAAAGCCAGGGGAGCAAACGGG